rnacentral:tRNA from 1 species
UUAGUUAAAACCAAAAUUAGAGGUCUACCACUGUUAAUGGUAAAAUUGAACUAAAAGUUCUAACUAAG